rnacentral:rRNA from 1 species
AUUGAACGCUGGCGGCAGGCCUAACACAUGCAAGUCGAGCGGAGCGGCUGACGGGUGUGUAAUGCCUAGGCAUCUUCCUGGUAGUGGGGGAUAACGUCCGGAAACUGGCGCUAAUACCGCAUACUCUCAGAUGAGCCUAGGCCGGAUUAGCUAGUUGGAGGGGUAAAGGCCUACCAAGGCGACGAUCCGAAACUGGUCUGAGAGCAGGAUCAGACACACUGGAACGGAGACACGGUCCAGACUCCUACGUGAGGCAGCAGUGGGGAAUAGUUGACAAUGGGCGAAAGCCUGAUACAGCCAUGCCGCGUGUGUGAAGAAGGUCUUCGGAUUGUAAAGCACUUUAAGUAGGGAAGCGUUACCAAAAGAAUAAGCACCGGCUAACUUCGUGCCAGCAGCCGCGGUAAUAC